GCUCAGAUCCAGCCGCCAGAGGUGGGGUUGGGGGAAAACUGAAACUGGUUAGGGCUCUCUCUCACCCUGCUAGUAACUGUUGGCGCCCAGACUCUGUUUCCCGCCCUUCUCUUCCCGCCCAGAGCUCUGUUUCCCGCCUGAACUCCCUGCCCUGUCUAAGGCGUCUUCAUUUGCCUAAGGCGGGAAGAAUGGCGCCUAGGCGGACGCCUUGGACGCCCUAUGGACUAAGGCGGACGCCUUAGGCAUGCACGUAAGGCAAGGCCGACGCCUUGUAACCUGGGGGCGCCUUGACGCCUAGGCGUCGCUUAGGCGACGCCUUAGGGACGCCUUAAAAACAGAGGGUGAUAGGUUUAUUAGGAAAAAGUUAGGAAAUAAAUAUCCUUGAUGGGGGAGGCCGAACGAGAGGAUAAUCAUGGAUAGAAAGAACGAGACUCAUCAAAAGUCACAUCCCGAGAAAUGCGCAUCCAUUGACCGACAGGAUCCCAACACCGAUAGCCCUUGUGCUCAUCACUAUAACCCAUAGUUAAAAAAAGUGCUAGGCGUUAAUUGUGUGUUUUGCCACCGCCUUGCGCUUUUCUGAUCAAAGCGCAUGCUUAUGCACAAUUAUGCGCAGAUUAAGUGCAGUUAUGCGCUAGGCGUUUUGCUAUCGCGUAGAGCCUAGGCGAACUUAAGCGCUCGCUUAGGCACACCUUUUUUAACUAUGUUGUAACCCAGGAGACACAUUCAACAGACCGAGUAGUUAGUUGGGUGUGUUCACGGGGGUGGAGGGGAGCAACAAGAGUGUAGCAAACACAACCAAACAAACGAAGCGAUGACUAGUCACGGGAACGACCAGAAAUACGCUCGAGAUGAAUGUCAUCCUACAAAGCAAGGAAGGCUGAAUGUUGAUGAGGUAGGUGGAAGUAGAAACAACCUCAACCCAAAAGUGUGGUGGAAGAGAGGCAACGAUCUUCAACGUAUGAGCCGCCUCAAGAAGGUGACGAUGCUUGCUCUCAACAACAACAUUCUGAGCAUCAUGUCCACGCUAAGAGAACCGAGCAAGUGUGCCCUGCUCAGCAAGGAAUCCGCGCAACAAACGGUAGAUAAAAUCACGAGUAAAAUCUGCAUGAAAGACACAGAUAGGAGUGGAAAACAGGGUAUGAGGCAUUGCUGCAAACUUCUUCCAAAUAGACAAGACCUCACUACAAGAAGGCAUAAAAUAUAUCCACAUGUGUCGAGAGAUAAUAUAGUAGCAAUAGCCUCCUUUCGAGGCAAAGGGAGCUGGACCCCAAACAUCAAGUGAACAAGAUCAAAAGGAUUUUGAAGUAACACAACUUGUGUUUCCUUUAGGCUAGAAUGAGACUUAGCAACAUCAAUCAUGAUUAGGGAAAUGGUGGAUUAUUGGAGCAUCUGGGAUUGGAUUAGUAGUAAGGAAACAAGGAUCUUGGAGUAGCACAACUUGUGUUUCCUUUAGGUUAAAAGAUAUAGCUACUUGGAUUCUAGGAUGGAGAUAACUUUGGCACUCGGAUUUAUGAUGUUUGGAUCUAAGCUUAGUAGCUUGCAUGUGCCCCAUAUGAAUAUAAUCAUUAAUACGAUACAUGUGGAUCUGAGUUCAUUUUGGUGUCCCUCCCCAAGAAUGUUAUGAGUACAAGAUAAUCAUGGGAGGAUGGUUUGGAUUAAUUCGAAGGAAAGGUAAACAAACCUAACAGUCUAAAGACACACCUUUAGAGACAUAUCCAAGAAGGCCACAUCGAACUAAGGAUGACAAACGAGAGCCACAUGAGUGACCAAGACGAUGAUGCCACAAAGAGUCGGUAGACGAGGAGAGGCGGAGAGACUAGGGACGGUGUCAUCAGAGGUAAGGUGAAGCCAGUCAAGCUCCUAGAGGGCUUGGGAGGUAUAGCGUCGAGGGCCAACAACAAGUAGAGCAUUUGUGUGAGGAUCCUAAUCAGAACAAGAGUAAAGUCAAGAAAGACCCUAGAACCAGAAUCAACAAUCUAACCACCUGAAAUGAGCUGCAUGGGUUGAGGAACAUGAGCAAAACUAGGAACAUGAAAAGAUGAAGUGCUAAGAGUGCCUCGACUAUCGAUUGUGAGGGCAGUUCCUAAGAACAUGAACAUGAGAAUUUGGAGGUCGAAUGAUCGACAAACUAGAAGAAUCAGACGAAGAAGCACUAGGCGGUGAAGAAGUCGGUGUCGAAGUCGUGCAAUUUUUGUUCCUCGUCAAUCUGGCUUGGCGUCCUUCCCUUGUAUGAGGGUUAUGUGUCACGGACUUGACGUCGCAUCCUAUGUUGCCUUGUUGCGGGCCCUUGGCCCCGGCGACAGGUAGCGUCGUGCACACAUCCUGUGGGUUAGACAUUGCGGUGCCGAUUGCCCCUGCUCCUGCUCCGCCGAUAGGUGGUGCUCGAGCGUUUGGCUAUGGCGGUUCCCAGCAGGGGAAGACAUGUUGUGGGAUCAAGGCAGCACACAAAGCAACCUAUAGCCAAGCAAAUAAUGCCCAACCGGACUGGCAUGAAGCGGAGAGUGCACGAGGGUUGUAGGGUAAGCAGUGAAAAUGUCGUCAGGAGCAGACUUCUGCCGCCGUCAGAUUUUGAACCUGGAGUCGAGGGUUGAGGGGAUGAUGAUAGGGGAAGCGAGGAAGGUAGGAAGAGGGCACUUGGACGAGAAAGGCAUCAUCCACCCUAUGCCUGUGCGUCAGCCGCGAUGGUGGACGGUUGUUGGCAGAUUCGAUGUCUACACGUGGAUCUACUACUCGGGAUGGCAUGACAUGGUUUUUGUGGAGUGAGGUGCCACAACUAUUGUGUUGUGUGGGUGAGUUUGGAGAGAUAGAAGUCGUGUUGCACUCUAGUCUAGGCAUUCAAUUGUACAAAGUGCAACUUAUUUAGAGUUUCUGUUCUCUCAAGCUUAAGGCUUUUUCUGAACCAAACCUAGCCCAAGCAACCCAACCUAGCUAUAAAAGUUCUAAUAGCAUGAACUUAUAUCGAUGUGGUUAACUUAUGGAAUUGUAAGAGCGCCGCUUAAGCACCAACAAAUUUUUCCUGGAAUAAAGCCCAACAUGAGAUUGGGUGAGUUAAUCAUUUUACAUCCUUAAGCCCCAACAUGCGCCAAGUUGGGUGGUGCCAUACGGAAGUUUUUUUAGGAGUUAUGAUUGGAGUCUGGUGGCGAUGUAGAACUGAUACUCAGGAGAUAGUCAGUUUUUUGGUGGAUUAUGAGAUUUUAGGUCUAGUUGAGCAUGGUGAUUAUUAUACUGGUGGAUAAAUAGAUCAUUAAUUAAUCUUGGAACAAUUUGGAUUUAGUUAGGUGAUUGUGAGCUUGAACCAAAUUUCACGAUGGAUAAAUAACUUCAAUAGUACAUAUAAAGAUCCAUAGUCCGUCAAUAGAACUUGGUGGUUUAUAUUGGAUUUAGAUAACCAUGAAUUUGGAGUUUAUCUAAACCAUGGUUAUGAUGUUGGUGGAUUGCUUUGUAUUAAAUUCACACUUUUGGAGAUUGAUGAAGUUGGAGAACUUUCGGGUGUAGUAUGAUCAACCUUGGAUAUAUAUCAGAUAUAUAUAGGUUAGAUGAGAGUUUGCAGCAUCAAUCAUGAUUAUGAUAAUUGGUGGAUUAUUGGAGCAUCUGGGAUUGGAUUAGUAGUAAGGAAACAAGGAUUUUGAUGUAACACGAUUUGUGUUUCCUUUAUGCUAGAUGGGACUUAGCAACAUCAAUCAUGAGUAUGGAAAUGGUGGAUUAUUGGAGCAUCUGGGAUUGGAUUAGUACUAAGGAAACAAGGAUCUUGGAGUAGCACAACUUGUGUUUCUUUUAGGUUAAAUGAUAUAGCUACUUGGAUUCUAGGAUGGAGAUAACUUUGGCACUCGGAUUUGUGAUGUUUUGAUCUUAGAUUAGUAGCUUGCAUGUGCCCCAUAUGGAUAUGAUCAUGAAUACGAUACAUGUGGAUCAGAGUUGUUAGAUGUAGGUGAUUUUGGUGUCCCUCCCCAAGAAUGUUAUGAGUACAAGAUCGUCAUGGGAGGAUGGUUUGGAUUAAUUCGGAGGAAAGGUAACUGAACCUGUUUGCGAAGCCGACAAACCUAACAGUCUAAAGAGACACCUCUAGAGACAUAUCCAAGAAGGCCACAUCGAUUUAAGUAUGACAAACGAGAGCCACAUGGGUGACCAAGACGAUGAUGCCACAAAGAGUCGGUAGACAAGGAGAGUAGAGAGACUGGCGACGGUGUCAUCAGAGGGAAGGUGAAGCCAGUCAAGCUCCUAGAGGGCCUGGUUGUUAUAGCGUCGAGGGCCCACAACAAGUAGAGCAUCCGUGUGAGGAUCCUAAUCAAAACAAGAGUUAAAGUCAAGAAUGACCCAACAACCAGAGUCAACAAUCUAACCACAUGAAAUAAGCUGCAUGGGUCGAGGAACAUGAGCAAAACUAGGAACACGAAAAUACGAAGUGCUAAGAGUGCCUCGACUAUUGACUGGGAGGGAAGUUCCUAAGAACAUGAACAUGAGAAUUUGGGGGUCGAAUGGCCGAAAAUCUGGAAGAAUCCCCAAGUGGUGAAACUAGAAGUGUGUGUCGAAGUCGUGCAAUUUUUGUUCCUCGUCGAUCUGGCUUGGCGUCCUUCCCUUGUAUGCGGGUUAUGUGUCACGGACUUGAUGUCGCAUCCUACGUUCCCUUGUUGGGGGCCCUUGGCCCCGGCGACAGGUAGCGUUGUGCACACAUUCUGUGGGUUAGACAUUGCAGUGCCGACUGCCCCUGCUCCUGCUCCACCGAUAGGUGGUGCUGAGCAUUCGGCCAUGGAGGCACCCAGCAGGGGAAGACGGGUUGUGGGAUCGAGGCAGCACACAAAGCAACCCAUAGCCAAGCAGAAGAUGCCCAUGCGGACUGGCAUGGAGCGGAGAGUGCACGAAGGGUGUGGGGGAUGCGAUGAAAAUGUCGUCGGGAGCGGACUACUGUCGUCAUCAGAUUUUGAACCUGGAGUCGAGCGGUGAGGGGAUGAUGAUAGGGGAUGCGUGGAAGGCAGGAAGAGGGCACUUGGAGGAGAAAGUCAUCAUCCACCCUAUGCCUGUGCGUCAGGCGCGAUGGUGGACGGUUGUUAGCAAAUCCGAUGUAUGCAUGUGGAUCUACUACUUGGGAUGGCAUGACAUGGUUGUGGUGUAGUGAGGUGCCACAACUAUUAUGUUGUGUGGGCGAGUUUGGAAAGAUAGAAGUCGUGUUGCACUCUAGUCUAGGCCUUCAACUGUACCAAGUGCAACUUAUUUAGACUUUCUGCUCUCUCAAGCUUAAGCCUUUCUCUGAACCAAAUCUAGCCCAAGAAACCCAACCUAACUAUAAAAGUUCUGACAGCAUGGACUUAUAUUGAUGUGCUUAACUUAUGGAAUUGUAAGAGCACCGCUUAAGCACGAACAACUUUUGCCUGGAUUAAAGCCCAACAUGAGACUGUGUGAGUUAAUCAUUUGACAUCCUUAAGCCCCAGCAUGCACCAAGUUGGGUGGGUGCCAUACGGAAGUUUCUUUGAGGAGUUAUGAUUAGAGUUUGGUGGUGAUGUAGAAGUGAUAUUCAGGAGAUAGUCAAAGUUUUUUGGUGGAUUAUGAGAUUUUAGGUCUAGUUGAGCAUAGUGAUUAUUAUAUUGGUGGAUAAACAGAUCUUUAAUUAAUCUUGGAACAAUUUGGAUUUAGUUAGGUGAUUGUGAUCUUGAACCAAAUUUCACGAUGGAUAAAUAACUUCAAUAGUACAUAUAAAGAUCCAUAGUCCGUCAAUAGAAGUCGGUGGUUUAUAUUGGAUUUAGAUAACAAUGAAUUUGGAGUUUCUUUAAAUCAUUGUUAUGAUAUUGGUGGAUUGCUUUGUGUUAAAUUCACACUUUUGGAGAUUGAUGAAGUUGGAGAACUUUAGGGUGUAGUAUGAUCAACCUUGGAUUGGAUUAGGUUAGAUGAGAGUUUGCAGCAUCAAUCAUGAUUAUGAUAAUUGGUUGAUUAUUGGAGCAUCUGGAAUUGGAUUAAUAAUAAGGAAACAAGGAUUUUGAAGUAACACAACUUGUGUUUCCUUUAGGCUAGAUGAGACUUAGCAACAUCAAUCAUGAUUAUGAAAAUGGUAGAUUAUUGGAGCUUUUGGGAUUGGAUUAGUAGUGAGGAAACAAGAAUCUUGGAGUAGCACAACUUGUGUUUCCUUUAGGUUAAAUGAUAUAGGUACUUGGAUUCUAGGAUGGAGAUAACUUUGGCACUCGGAUUUGUGAUGUUUUAAUCUGAGCUUAGUAGCUUGCAUGUGCCCCAUAUGGAUAUGAUCAUGAAUAUGAUACAUGUGGAUCAGAGUUGUUAGACGUAGGUCAUUUGGUGUCCCUCCCCAAGAAUGUUAUGAGUACAAGAUCAUCAUGGGAGGAUGGUUUGGAUUAAUUCGGAGGAAAGGUAACUGAAUCUAUUUGCAAAGUCGACAAACCUAACAGGCUAAAGACACACCUCUGGAGACAUAUCCAAAAAGACCACAUCGAACUAAGGAUGACAUACGAGAGCCACAUGAGUGACCAAGACGAUGAUGCCACAAAGAGUCGGUAGACGAGGAGAGCGGAGAGACUGGCGACGGUGUCAUCAGAGGGAAGGUGAAGCCAGUCAAGCUCCAAGAGGGUCUGGUUGUUAUAGCGCCGAGGGCCCACAACAAGUAGAGCAUCCGUGUGAGGAUCCUAAUUAGAACAAGGGUUAGUCAAGAAUGACCCUACAACCAGAGUCAACAAUCUAACCAUCUGAAAUGGGCUGCAUGGGUCGAAGAACAUGAGCAAAACUAGGAACAUGAAAAGACGAAGUGCUAAGAGUGCCUCGACUAUUGACUGGGAGGGAAGUUCCUAAGAACAUGAACAUGAGAAUUUGGGGGUCGAAUGGCCGACAAACUGGAAGAAUCCCCAAGUGGUGAAACUAGAAGUGUGUGUCGAAGUCGUGCAAUUUUUGUUCCUCGUCGAUCUGGCUUGGUGUCCUUCCCUUGUAUGCGGGUUAUGUGUCACGGACUUGAUGUCGCAUCCUACGUUCCCUUGUUGGGGGCCCUUGGCCCCGGCGACAGGUAGCGUCGUGCACACAUCCUGUGGGUUAGACAUUGCGGUGCCGACUACCCAUGCUCCUGCUCCGCCGAUAGGUGGUGCUCGAGCAUUCGGCCAUGGAGGCACCCAGCAGGGGAAGACGGGUUGUGGGAUCGAGGCAGCACACAAAGCAACCCGUAGCCAAGCAAAAGAUGCCCAAGCGGACUGGCAUGGAACGGAGAGUGCACGACGGGUGUGUGGGAUGGAGAUGAAAAUGUCGUCGAGAGCGGACUACCGCCGUCGUCAGAUUUUGAACCUGGAGUCGAGCGGUGAGGGGAUGAUGAUAGGGGAUGCGAGGAAGGCAGGAAGAGGGCACUUGGAGGAGAAAGUCAUCAUCCACCCUAUGCCUGUGCGUCAGGCGCGAUGGUGGACGGUUGUUAGCAAAUCCGAUGUAUGCACGUGGAUCUACUACUUGGGAUGGCAUGACAUGGUUGUGGUGGAGUGAGGUGCCACAACUAUUAUGUUGUGUGGGUGAGUUUGGAGAGAUAGAAGUCGUGUUGCACUCUAGUCUAGGCCUUCAACUGUACCAAAUGCAACUUACUUAGAGUUUCUGCUCUCUCAAGCUUAAGCCUUUCUCUGAACCAAAUCUAGCCCAAGAAACCCAACCUAGCUAUAAAAGUUCUGAUAGCAUGUACUUAUAUCAAUGUGCUUAACUUAUGGAAUUGUAAGAACACCGCUUAAGCACGAACAACUUUUGCCUGGAUUAAAGCCCAACAUGAGACUGUGUGAGUUAAUCAUUUUACAUACUUAAGCCCCAACAUGCACCAAGUCGGGUGGUGCCAUACGGAAGUUUUAUUGAGGAGUUAUGAUUGGAGUCUGGUGGUGAUGUAGAAGUGAUAUUCAGGAGAUAGUCAAAGUUUUUUGGUGGAUUAUGAGAUUUUAGGUCUAGUUGAGCAUGGUGAUUAUUAUAUUGGUGGAUAAACAGAUCUUUAAUUAAUCUUGGAACAAUUUGGAUUUAGUUAGGUGAUUGUGAUCUUGAACCAAAUUUCACGAUGGAUAAAAAACUUCAAUAGUACAUAUAAAGAUCCAUAGUCCGGCAAUAGAAGUUGGUGGUUUAUAUUGGAUUUAGAUAACAAUGAAUUUGGAGUUUCUUUAAAUCAUUGUUAUGAUAUUGGUGGAUUGCUUUGUGUUAAAUUCACACUUUUGGAGAUUGAUGAAGUUGGAGAACUUUAGGGUGUAGUAUGAUCAACCUUGGAUUUGAUUAGGUUAGAUGAGAGUUUGCAGCAUCAAUCAUGAUUAUGAUAAUUGGUUGAUUAUUGGAGCAUCUGGAAUUGGAUUAAUAAUAAGGAAACAAGGAUUUUGAAGUAACACAACUUGUGUUUCCUUUAGGCUAGAUGAGACUUAGCAACAUCAAUCAUGAUUAUGGAAAUGGUAGAUUAUUGGAGCUUUUGGGAUUGGAUUAGUAGUGAGGAAACAAGAAUCUUGGAGUAGCACAACUUGUGUUUCCUUUAGGUUAAAUGAUAUAGGUACUUAGAUUCUAGGAUGGAGAUAACUUUGGCACUCGGAUUUGUGAUGUUUUAAUCUAAGCUUAGUAGCUUGCAUGUGCCUUAUAUGGAUAUGAUCAUGAAUACGAUAUAUGUGGAUCAGAGUUGUUAGACGUAGGUCAUUUUGGUGUCCCUCCCCAAGAAUGUUAUUAGUACAAGAUCAUCGAUGGUUUGGAUUAAUUCGGAGGAAAAGUAACUGAAUCUAUUUGCAAAGUUGACAAACCUGACAGUCUAAAGACACACCUCUAGAGACAUAUCCCAAAAGGCCACAUCGAACUAAGGAUGACAUACGAGAGCCACAUGAGUGACCAAGACGAUGAUGCCACAAAGAAUCGGUAGACGAGGAGAGCGGAGAGACUGGCGACGGUGUCAUCAGAGGGAAGGUGAAGCCAGUCAAGCUCCUAGAGGGCCUGGGAGUUAUAGUGUCGAGGGCCCACAACAAGUAAAGCAUCCGUGUGAGGAUCCUAAUCAGAACAAGAGUUAGUCAAGAAUGACCCUACAACCAGAGUCAACAAUCUAACCAUCUGAAAUGAGCUGCAUGGGUCGAGGAACAUGAGCAAAACUAGGAACAUGAAAAGACGAAGUGCUAAGUGUGCCUCGACUAUUGACUGGGAGGGAAGUUCCUAAGAACAUGAACAUGAGAAUUUGGGGGUCGAAUGGCCGACAAACUGGAAGAAUCCCCAAGUGGUGAAACUAGAAGUGUGUGUCGAAGUCGUGCAAUUUUUGUUCCUCGUCGAUCUGGCUUGGCGUCCUUCCCUUGUAUGCGGGUUAUGUGUCACGGACUUGAUGUCGCAUCCUACGUUCCCUUGUUGGGGGCCCUUGGCCCUAGUGACAGGUAGCGUCGUGCACACAUCCUGUGGGUUAGACAUUGCGGUGCCGACUGCCCCUACUCCUGCUCCGCCGAUAGGUGGUGCUCGAGCAUUCGGCCAUGGAGGCACCCAACAGGGGAAGACGGGUUGUGGGAUCGAGGCAGCACACAAAGCAACCCGUAGCCAAGCAAAAGAUGCCCAAGCGGACUGGCAUGGAGCGGAGAGUGCACGAAGGGUGUGUGGGAUGCGAUGAAAAUGUCGUCGGGAGCGGACUACCGCCGUCGUCUGAUUUUGAACCUGGAGUCGAGCGGUGAGGGGAUGAUGAUAGGGGAUGCGAGGAAGGCAGGAAGAGGGCACUUGGAGGAGAAAGUCAUCAUCCACCCUAUGCCUGUGCGUCAGGCGCGAUGGUGGACGGUUGUUAGCAAAUCCGAUGUAUGCACAUGGAUCUACUACUUGGGAUGGCAUGACAUGGUUGUGGUGGAGUGAGGUGCCACAACUAUUAUGUUGUGUGGGUGAGUUUGGAGAGAUAGAAGUCGUGUUGCACUCUAGUCUAGGCCUUCAACUGUACCAAAUGCAACUUAUUUAGAGUUUCUGCUCUCUCAAGCUUAAGCCUUUCUCUGAACCAAAUCUAGCCCAAGAAACCCAACCUAGCUAUAAAAGUUCUGAUAGCAUGUACUUGUAUCAAUGUGCUUAACUUAUGGAAUUGUAAGAGCAUCGCUUAAGCACCAACAACUUUUGCCUAGAAUAAAGCCCAACAUGAGAUUGUGUGAGUUAAUCAUUUUACAUACUUAAGCCCCAACAUGCGCCAAGUUGGGUGGUGCCAUACGAAAGUUGUUUUGAGGAGUUAUGAUUGGAGUCUGGUGGUGAUGUAAACAGAUCUUUAAUUAAUCUUGAAACAAUUUGGAUUUAGUUAGGUUAUUGUGAUCUUGAACCAAAUUUCACGAUGGAUAAAUAACUUCAAUAGUACAUUUAAAGAUCCAUAGUCCGUCAAUAGAACUUGGUGGUUCAUAUUGGAUUUAGAUAACAAUGAAUUUGGAGCUUAUUUAAAUCAUGGUUAUGACGUUGGUGGAUUGCUUUAUGUUAAAUUCACACUUGUGGAGAUUGAUGAAGUUGGAGAACUUUAGGGUGUAGUAUGGUCAACCUUGGAUAUAUCAGAUUUAUAUAGGUUAGAUUAGAGUUUGCAGCAUCAAUCAUGAUUAUGAUAAUUGGUGGAUUAUUGGAGCAUCUGGGAUUGGAUUAGUAGCAAGGAAACAAGGCUUUUGAAGUAACACAAGUUGGGUUUCCUUUAGGCUAGAUGAGACUUAGCAACAUCAAUCAUGAUUUUGAAAUGUUGGAUUAUUGGAGCAUCUGGGAUUGGAUUAGUAGUAAGGAAACAAGGAUCUUGGAGUAGCACAACUUGUGUUUCCUUUAGGUCAAAUGAUAUAGCUACUUGGAUUCUCGGAUGGAGAUAACUUUGGCACUCGGAUUUGUCAUGUUUUGAUCUAUGCUUAGUAGCUAGCAUGUGCCCCAUAUGGAUAUAAUCAUGAAUACGAUACAUGUGGGACAGAGUUGUUAGACGUAGGUGAUUUUGGUGUCCCUCCCCAAGAAUGUUACGAGUACAAAAUCAUCAUGGGAGGAUGGUUUGGAUUAAUUCGAAGAGAUGGCAAUUUUGGUGGUAUAUGAUAACCUUGUGGGAGUUGGUCUAUGUGAGCCUCAUAAUAGUUGGUAUCAGAGAAAUGGUGUUUAAGUGUUAUAUGGCAACCUUAAUUCUCGCCAAGCAACACCUGAGCUGGAUAUGAAGUAAGGAUAUGGCCCUUGGACUAACCCUUAUACUCCACCUAUUUGAUGAACAUCAUGACCAUGUUUAUGAGUUCUUGGACAAGUUUGUGGUUAUCAUCAUUGAUGACCUCUUGGUCUAUUCUCCCUCUGAGGAAGAUCAUAAGCAACACCUGAGAAUGAUUUUGGAUAACUUCAAGAACCCCAGUUAUAUGCCAAGUUCAAGAAGUAUGAUAUUUGGCUAAAAGAAGUAGGGUUCCGAUGACAUGUUUUGUCCAUAGAAGGUUUGUCAAUAGACCCGUCAAGGAUAGAAUCCGUAACCAACUGGAAGUCCAAACAAAUGUGAAGUCGGAAGUUUCAUCGGACUUAUGAGUUAUUAUCGCAAAUUUGUGAAGACUUUCAAGCAUCACCGAUGACCUAACUCUUGAAGAAAGAUAAGAAGUUUGAAUGAAGGCCCAAGUGUGAAGUGAGCUUUCGAGAGUUUAAGAAAAGGUUAGCCACCCUAGAUAUUUAUACGAGUUUUGAAGUUAUUGUGAUGCAUCUAAGCAUGGACUUCGUUCCGUCUUGAUGCAAUAAGGAAUCUUCCUAGCCUAUCUAUCAAGGCAACUACGUCCUCAUGAAGAGACUUGCCCUACCCAUGAUUUGAAAAUAGCAACAGUAGUGCAUGCUUUAAGUAUGUCUUCUUCUAGAUGGGUGGAUUUGAUGAACCACUAUGACUAUGAUAUCUAUUACCAUCCUGAUAAGGCCAAUGUCGCAGUGGAUACCCUCAGCGGGAAGUCGUGUCCCUGUUCUGCCUUGACCAAGCAGAGCAAUAGUGCUACAUGAAGGCUUCGAGAAGUUUGGUGUAGAGCUAGUCAAUAGUGUCUAUCUCACUAACUUCGAGAUUAGACCCACUCUUAGGAUGAAUCAAGAAGUAUAGAAGAAAUCAAUGAAAUGAUCAAGCAUGGGAAAGCCUUGCAUUCUCAGAAGACAAGCAAUGUGUUCUUUGGUUUGGAGGUCGCAUCUGCAUACCUAACCAAGAAGGUUUGAAGAAGUGGAAUCUACAAGCAGCUCGGGACACCCCUUUAUUCCAUCCACCUAGGGAGUACCAAGUUAUACCAAGACCUCAAGAAGUUGAUGGUGGAAUGGAAUGGAGUUAGAUAUAGCCGCCCUUUUGUUACCAACAUCUCAGGAUGCAAGCGCGGCGGGUUGCAGCUAGCCCGUACUUGCUUAAGCGGGCUCACCUGGUUUAUGCGGGUUGAUGCGGUGGUUUGCAUAAUCCCACGCUAGUUAUUGCGGGUUAAUGUGGCGUCCUGCAUACGCCGCAUGCAGCCAGCUCGUGUAAUUUGGUGGAAUGACUUCAGACGCAACUGAACUAACGCAUGUAGCUCUUGAUAUUUGAGGUUCUCUCUACUCCAGAUGUUCUGGUUGAGCGCCACUACUGUGAAGACCGUCAACCAAACGACAACAUGGAUGAAGGUUCAGGAACCGCAACUUAUGUUGCGACAUGCGAGUUGAGCGACACGCCGUCAUCGAUGAACCAGAGACCCCGGCGCAUGGCUGGGCCUUACCAUGUGGCGCUCUUGCUGUCUCGAAAGAUGUCGGAAGCUAAGUGUGAAGCAUGGUUGCAUGAGUUUUUUGUAGAACAAGACAGAACGAGGAGGUUUCGCAUCUUUUGCGGGAUAUGCGACAACCCGUCGGGCAACGCGGUCACACUCGCGUGAACUCGCAUGCACAAAGUUAGCGAGAUCUUUUUGCGGGGUGGACUAGCGGUUUAACUGGCAGUAUUGUCCCACUUGCACCCUUACCAUUGUCGAAUUAAGGCCAUGACUCUAUCAGGGUCAUAAUUGACCAUUGCCUAAGCUUGCCAUCCUCAACCCAUUACUUAACACCAAAAACAUUUGCGAGCCAACUAGCAGAUAACUACCUCUUCCAGAUUUGAAGUCCCCACAAAGUUCCCAAGAAGGUUGUUGUAUAUAAAGGUACAAAGUUGACCUCCAAACCUGGAAGAGAUUCCAAGAAGCUUUUAAAAUCAAGUCAUCCAUCAAACGGGGCCUCUGCAAAGAAAACCACACAUCGACCCCCACCCCUAACCAACUUACUGCGAGAUCUCAAUUCUUGUCGUUGCUAAAGCUAUAUGUCAGAAGUUAUGCCAUCGAGUGCCUCGGUUCAGUGAAGCAAUCUGAUUGAAGAGCAAGCAACUUGAAGUGAAGACUGUCGCUGAGCAAUUUUUGUAAGCAACCUCACCCAGUGUUUUGUAUCACAUCACUUAAGAUAAUAUAGAUCAAAAUUUUGGACCCAACUUUUAAAAUAUCGACACGGGGGAGUAUAUACCAUCCAGUGGAUUCUAUACUAGCAUCGUUCUUAAGGAAAGUUCUGCCCGAUUGUUCAAACUGUAUAUGCCUAACACCAAAAUACAUCAAGAUGCAAAGGCCGGCAUCUUUAACUGUACCAAGUGCAACUUAGUCAGAGUUUCUCCUCUCUCAAGCUUAAGCCUUUCUCUAAACCAAACCUAGCCCAAGAAAACCCAGCCUAGCUAUCAAGGUUGUGAUAGGACAGACUUAUAUCAAUGUGCUUAACUUACGGAAUUGCAAGAGCACCGCUUGAGCACCAACAACUAUUGCCUGAAAUAAAGCCCAACAUGAGAUAGUGAUUGUAUGAGUCAAUCAUGUUACAUCCUUAAGCCUGCAACACACACCUAGUUGGGUGGUGUCAUACUUAAGUUGUUUUGAGGAGUUAUGAUUGGAAAAUGAGAUAGUUUGAUGGUAAUGUAGAUGUGAUCUUCAGAAGAUAGUCAAAGAUGUUCGGUGGAUUAUGAGAUUUUAGGUAUAGUAGGUGAGCAUGGUGAUUAUUAUAUUUGUGAAUAACAAUAUCUUUAAUUAAUCUUGAAACAAUUUGGAUUUAGUUAGGUGAUUGUGAAUUUGUGAUUUUGAACCAAAUUUCAUGGUGGAUUACGAGAUUUUAGUUGGAUUUAGUUAGGUGAUUGUGAUCUCGAGAAGAUAGUCAAACUUGUUCGGUGGAUUAUGAGAUAUUAGGUCUAAUAGGUGAGCAUGAUGAUUAUUACAUCGGUGGAUAAAAAGAUCUUGAACUAAUCUUUGAAAAAUUUGAAUUUAGUUUGUGAGAUUGUGAUCUUGGACCAAAUUUCAUGGAGAAUUAUGAGAUUUUAGGUGGAUUUAAUUUGGUGAUUGUGAUCUUCAGAAGAUAGUCAAAGAUGUUUAGUGGAUUAUAAGAUUUUAGGUCUGGUAGGCGAGGAUGAUGAUUAUUAUAUUAGUGGAUAAAUAGAUUUUCAAUUAAUCUUGGACAAUUUGGAUUUAGCUAGGUAAUUGUGAUUUUGACCCAAAUUUCACGGUAGAUUAUGAGAUUUCAGGUGGACUUUAGUUGAUAUGACUUUUGAGGAGGUAGUCAAAGAUGUUCGGUCGAUUAUGAGAUUUUAGGUCUAGUAGGUGAACAUGAUGAUUAUUGCAUUGGUGCAUAAAUAGAUCUUUAAUUAAUCUUGAAGCGGCAGGAAGCACAAUCCCACAAUAGGCGCUUAACACCAAGAUUCAUGGGAUAGAAACAUACCCCGUAUCAACACUAUUCCAAAAAGACCGCCACACUUUGGCCUAUGACUUUUAAGCAGUAUGAGGUGCUGAAACAGAACCCAUUCUGGUGUGACAUGAUGGAAAGCUAUGGAGUCUGAACAACUACAGAACUGACGUCAUCCAAGCACUUGGUGGUGUGGAAGGUAUCCUGGAACAUGCCUUAUUUAAGGGAACAUACUACUGUAUUUCCCUACUUGGGAGGGUUUGUUUUGGGAGAAGGCUUCAGGUUUGAGGAAUCAAUCAAGUACAAAAAGCUGACAAAUGCACAGCGUUCUCAGCUUAAUCAAAUCCCCAACAAAAGAUUUACCCUCUGGUGGUCGCCAACCAUGCAUUAAUCGUGCACACGUAUAUGUUAGUUUCCACUUUUCAGGUUCAGCUAGAAUAUUAACUGGUUCCCCGGCCCGGGUCAAAGCCCCUCCUCCAGCAAGCAAUGAACAAGAUCAUGAAGUCAAAUCCUGCUCUGUAUGUGCUGAGGGAGAGAAUCAGAAAGGGUCUAAAGUCGUAUUCAUCUGAACCCACCGAGCCAUAUCUGUCUUCACAGAACUACGGAGAGAUAUUCAGUAAUCAAAUCAUACGGUUUGUGGAUGACAUAAAUGUCUAUCGAGUUACCAUUCACAAAACCUUCGAGGGUAACCUGACGACCAAACCAAUCAAUGGUGCCAUCUUUAUUUUCAAUCCAAGAACUGGUCAACCAACUAUUUCUGAAGGUCAUCCACACAAGUGUAUGGGCUGGACAAAAGCGUCUAGUUUCUCAGCAUAGUAAUCGCACCAGUUUUCCUCAUUCUUAGAUUUAACUGAAUUUGCAUAUGCAUUCCGCCACAGCAUGGAACUCACCGGCCAGAUGGUGACUUUGCCAGCGAAUCUCCCAGAGCAUGAGUUCCUUGCUGACUUGGAUCCAUUGGGACCUAGUCGAAUGAAGCUCCUCAGCUAUCACCUCAGGAUUUGACAUGACAUGCUAAUAUUUUGGAGAAAAACAAGCAGUGGGAUGGUAAGAAGUGCAUCAUUUUGACCUGUCGGCGAACAUCUUGGGUCAGUGGUUAUGUUCGGGAGAAGAAAACCUAUCGUGGUUAGUGGUCAUUACUUGUCAAACUGUAUCAUUAGCGUCAAGUUGAUGUUUCGCUUGGUGUUAUCAUCCUCGUCUAGUUGAUGCUUUGUGAUUUGAGCUUUUUUAAUGAAGCUUAAUGUGUUAUUUCAUCUGGUUGCUCUUCUUCUUAAGAUUGGAUUACUUGCAGAUUUCUUUUUAGCUGGAUUAAGUUUACUAUGUCAGUCAGUGUUUUGUUACAUAUUUCCGUCAGUCAGUUCUGUGCCUGAGACCAAAUCAGUUGUUCUGGGCCUGGUCAAACCGCUAUUGCUUCAGCCAGUUCUGGGAUGGUGACGCCUUGAAGAGUGUGGUCAAAGCAAGCCAGGACAUCACCCUCAUGGCCACGUAAUCACCACCCCCACGCCCAUCAUUUGAUCAUCAAUGAAGCACUGCGGCAUCAGCAUUAAUUUUAACCAUCUUGGCACUGACGAUGAUGCCUCACACCUAGAGAAACUGUGAAAUAAGAAUAAUAUCAGUAAGUGUAACUGUCCCUUGAGAACUUGGAAUAAGUGAUCAUACUAAGAAUUAUAUCAGUAAGUGUAACUGUCCUGAAGAUGAUAAGUGUUGCACUGCCCCUCAGUUAUUGUUUCUGUUUCCGUGGAGCAACGGUCAUAUAAUAUUUGGAGACCUGACGUCACCGGCACGUCUCAUAUGAUCGGAUAUUCUUAUGGCCGUGCACCAAGCCUGUGUGUGAACAGAACAUUUGUCUGACCAUCUCGCUUCGCUUGCUCAGAGACACGGAUAUUCUCAUGUUCAUGCAGUCAGGCCACAGAGACACGAUAUUCUCAUGUUCAUGCAGUCAGGCCACCAACGGCAGCGAGUGUGUACAUUUGUCUUUAGACCAGUAUGAACUACUCGGGUAGAUGGCUGCAUGGCAGCGCUGGACACUCUGGGUACUCUAUUGUUCUUGUUCAUCUUUAAGAAUGCACUGAUAUAUUCAAUGUUCUCUAAUUACUGUCAGAAAUAUCUAUUGUUAGCGUGGCAAGAAACAGAAGAAAACGAAUAAGUAGGAAUGUAUGAUACAAAUUUCUGAGCAUACAUUCUAUGAUAGGAAUUUUAUGAUGUGGUCUCUAUAGGUAUCGACUUUGUGUUUCGCCGUUUCUAGGUUAAGAUAUUUGUGUGACAUACUGACAUCAAGCCUUAGCAGUACAUUUCUAAUGCUGUUUUGGCCUGAAUCAUCAAUUCUGUUGACGUACUUACAGUAUUUGUGUGGGAUUAUAAUAUCUGAAGCUCUGGACAUGUGCAGAAAAAGGAGGCACCUGCUUGGCAAGAAAGUCUAAAUUCAGAAUAUAUGGCUGGACUACUUGAACCUUUUGCAUAAUUUUUUACUGGCAGUAGUUCAACAAUUUACAGUUAGCAUUUUAAGAAAGAGUAUUUGCAUGUGUGCAUCUUCAGCCCUGUUUCUUCUCUUUUAUGUCAAUGCAAUAUGUUACAAUUUUAAAUGAGGCAAUUGACGCAUGCUUUCGGGAGCGACUAGUAUAGAAAAUGGCCCUCCGGUACAAGAAUAGAAAAAUCGAAGCUGGGCCAUUGGAUUGAGGAUGGAUGGCACAGAUUCUGCUGGAGGAUGUGUACAGACAAAUCCAUGCUUCUGUGCAAAAAGGACCUUCGUCUCCGUUGAAUUUGCUUCCUACAUUCUGUGCCAUCAAACGAGAGCCACACCCCUAUUUCAUCUCCCAACUGCUUCCCGACGGUGGAGGCACUCCAGCUCCGGCGUCACAGCGGCAUGAUCUCGGCGGUGACCAUGGGUGGCGACUGCGACGACCCGUCGACCCCGUCCCUAGGGUUCUUGGUCUUGGCCUUGAUAAUUUCUAGGGUUCAUGGUCUGGUGGGAAGAUUGAAUUAUUGGCCUUAAUUGUGAAUAUAAAUGAGCUCACAUGGCGGUCAGAUCCCUAUUCUAGGAUCCGAUCUCUCCUCUCUGAAAUCAACAAAGGUAUGACGAACAAGGGGGAAACUAGCUGUCAGAUCCCUGUCUUAGUAGUUGUAAACAAUUGUGUGGAUUAAUUUAUCAAAUGCUUUUACCCUGAGCUUGAACUACAGGGUUGCAAUGUUUUGGCAUCAACACUUGUUAAAAUAUUAGCAGGGCAAUAGCAUCAAAUUAAGCAUAUAUUCUGAGAUGGUCUUCAUAUACAUGCCAUAUUGCUGUAAAUUAGUUAGGUCUGUUGGUGGAUGAUAGAAGUAGGGAAAAUGACUGAGUUUGGUACUUUGAUAUGAUGGAGUGACCACAACUUACAUUUGGCAUUUUGGCUGACUAAUGACGAAAUGGUAGUGACCCGAACGAUUUCUGUGCAAAUUAGUGAUAGAAGAGAUGAAACUUAUAGGCCCAGAAACAAUUAAUCAUACAGCAUCGAUGUUCUGAACAGAAAUAUGUGUACUUGGUCUCAAGAUGAAUAUUCUGAACAGAAAUGUUGUGUGUUGAACACCUUUCUUAUUUGGUCACUCCAUUUUUGUUCUACAAACAAAAUUAAGCUGAAUGUAUAUCAUAAUAGCAUUGUCCUGAGAUGGGAUAACUAGAGCUUGGGGUUACGGGUUUCCUGAUAAGUAAUGCUGCAUGUGUACUAGUUAAUCAGUUAUCAGUCACUCCAUUUUGUUAACAAAUCUCAUUCUUAGAUGGGGAUAUCCGAAGUCUAAUUUGUGUUCUCUUUUGGUCACGGCGAAAUGCGAGUCUGCAUAUUGUACAUUAAGAAUAAAUAGAAUGUAGCAAGAAGUCAAUCCAGUCCUUUAAUUUUCUCUCAAAAGAACAGUAAAAAACAUUUGCCAAUAUGCGGUCUUCUGUUGUUUCUUAUGCAUUAUGUGCUUUGUAGAUACUAGCUGCCCUAUAGGCAUCAAAUAUACUGGUUGUACUACAGUCAGAACUAAAAUGUUUGGGAGAAAUGUCAAGUUGUAUAUUUUGUAAACCUAAACUUUUGGUCUAGCUUUUCUGUUCUGAAACCUAAAUAACAGGGUGAUUUGGCAUUGUUGCCGCUUGCAUGCACAUGGUCGUGUUUCCUAAUUCUCCUAUUUCCUGUCCAGAGGGUUUCAGAAUAAUUGAUCCAUCCAUGACGUACGCAACAUUGGCGAGAUGAGAGAGCCGUUUGUUCAGCACGGGAGAAGCUCGACCAAGAGGGGGGAAGGAAGAUUGUCUUUGAAUGAUUUGAGGGCCAUGUGAGGAAGAAAUUUUUGAUAGGUGUUAGCUCUCUGUUGUAUAACUGAAUGGUCACCAGUGGACAGUACCAUGUAUGCAUUCGACCUCAAGGUGCAAUCCUGGUCUGCUCUCGACUCGGCGGGCUAGGUUCCCCUGCCGCUCUACGAUCGGCAUCGGCGGCACGGUGUUUGUGUUCGGCGUCCGCGUCAAGGAUCACAAAGCUCUACGAGCUCUGCUUCGACACGACCACCAACAUGACCUGUUCUUGUACCAAAAACGACCCAUCUUAUGUAUCAAUUGAUAUUUAUGUAUGUCUGUUGUGUUGUGUUCUGGUAGGGGUGUUCCAGAUGUUUAGUUCUUUUUUUUUUUUUGAAAUGUCCAGAUGUUUAGUUCUGAUUGAAGAGGCUGGCUUAAUUUUGUCAUGUACUAAAAUAUUUGUGAUGAGGAUUUGUUGUCGUUGAUGUUGUGUACUCAAAUUUUGUGAUAAGUAUUAACAUACCUCUUUGCCCAACUUUCUUGCAUA